GACGAACGCUGGCGGCGUGCCUAAUACAUGCAAGUCGAACGGACAGGCCCUGCUCUUGUGGGGUGCUCGUGUGGCGAACGGGUGUGUAAAACGCGAGUAAACUGCCCUUGUCUUUGGGAUAACUUCACGAAACUCGGGCUCAUACACGGUAGGAGAUCUUGCUGCGUGGUGGGGGUUGGAAAAUUUCGGUGGUUGGGGCUGGUCUCGAGGGUUAUCAGCUUGUUGGUGAGGUAGUGGCUUACCAGGGCUUUGACGGGUAGCCGGCGUGGGAGGGUGACCGGCCACAUUGGUACUGAGAUACGGCCCAGAAUCGUACGGGCGGCAGCAGUGGGGAAUAUUGCACAACGGCCGGAAGCCUGUUGUAGCAAUGCCGCGUGCGGAAUGACGUCUUUCGGGUUGUAAACCGCUGUCGACGGUGAUGAAGCCUGCUUGACGGUAAUGGGUCAAGAAGCACCGGCUAACUACGUG
rnacentral:rRNA from 1 species